UGGAUUGAGCAGUCGUUGCUUCGGUCGCCGCCGUGGAUUGAGCAGUCGUUGCUUCAGC
ensembl:miRNA gmo-mir-11266a gmo-mir-11266a